UGUGCCCAUGCAUACAUAUGAAAAGACGAGCUCAAAGCUUUCAUCCAAUGUCACUAAGUUCAAAACGUAUUUUAGGCAUGAAGCGUUUAGUGAUAAGAACUUGAAAAUGGAGUUCAUAGCUAAUUUUAGCGACAUAACUCAAAAAUGUAUAUGAAGAAAGUUAAUUGCAAAUAACAAAUAUAGUGUUAGGUAUACAAGAAAAUGUAUUUCUUGACAAACUGGUUAUUUUGCUAUGAAAACAAAAUAAUGACCUUCUAUUGUGCCUCAGAAGUCUUUCUUUGUUUUCGGGAUUGUUUUUAUGUAUACUCUUGCAGAGGGUAUUCUAAUUUCAGCCAAGAGAUUGCAACGCAGUGAAGGAGACAUUUCCGACCUAAUAAAGUAUAUACAUACAUAUGUAUGUACAGCUGUGUUCACCGAAAUAGCAGUGCUUACGACCUGCACGUUUAAGAUUAAAAAAUACUAUUACAAACACUACUUUGUUAACAAGAUUUUUCAUAAAGUCUUAUUGUAUUUAAUUAUUAAUAAUAAAACAAUUAUUUCAUUUGGGUAACUUAAACACUUUAGAAGAUAUAGCUAAUAACAACAAAAAAAAGUAUAUAUUAUGCUGUUCAUUGAAAUAGCAGUCAAAGUAAACAAUUAACAAAAAUGUAAUCAACUUCAAAAUAUCUUAUAAAUAACCUAAUCCUACUGAAAUACAAUUUGUCUAUGAUCUAA